rnacentral:rRNA from 1 species
UGCAGAGAACUUUCCAGAGAUGGAUUGGUGCCUUCGGGAACUCUGACACAGGUGCUGCAUGACUGUCGUCAGCUCGUGUCGUGAGAUGUUGGGUUAAGUCCCGUAACGAGCGCAACCCUUGUCCUUAGUUACCAGCACGUUAUGGUGGGCACUCUAAGGAGACUGCCGGUGGACAAACCGGAGGAAGGUGGGGGAUGACGUCAAGUCAUCAUGGCCCUUACGGCCUGGGCUACACACGUGCUACAAUGGUCGGUACAAAGGGUUGCCAAGCCGCGAGGUGGAGCUAAUCCCAUAAAACCGAUCGUAGUCCGGAUCGCAGUCUGCAACUCGACUGCGUGAAGUCGGAAUCGCUAGUAAUCGUGAAUCAGAAUGUCACGGUGAAUACGUUCCCGGGCCUU